rnacentral:rRNA from 4 species
AAUCCAUAGGUUAAUGAGGCGAACCGGGGGAACUGAAACAUCUAAGUACCCCGAGGAAAAGAAAUCAACCGAGAUUCCCCCAGUAGCGGCGAGCGAACGGGGAGGAGCCCAGAGCCUGAAUCAGCAUGUGUGUUAGUGGAAGCGUCUGGAAAGGCGCGCGAUACAGGGUGACAGCCCCGUACACAAAAGCGCAUGUGCUGUGAGCUCGAUGAGUAGGGCGGGACACGUGGUAUCCUGUCUGAAUAUGGGGGGACCAUCCUCCAAGGCUAAAUACUCCUGACUGACCGAUAGUGAACCAGUACCGUGAGGGAAAGGCGAAAAGAACCCCGGCGAGGGGAGUGAAAAAGAACCUGAAACCGUGUACGUACAAGCAGUGGGAGCCCCACCACCAAAGCAUUCUCUGGUGUUGAAGGCCCUGCAAAGCAGCAUCGCGGUGGCGGAGCGUCGUUUGCGACGCCCAACACACAAAACAAGCGGUGAGUGCUUUGGGGUGGGGUGACUGCGUACCUUUUGUAUAAUGGGUCAGCGACUUAUAUUCUGUAGCAAGGUUAACCGAAUAGGGGAGCCGGAGGGAAACCGAGUCUUAAUUGGGCGUUAAGUUGCAGGGUAUAGACCCGAAACCCGGUGAUCUAGCCAUGGGCAGGUUGAAGGUUGGGUAACACUAACUGGAGGACCGAACCGACUAAUGUUGAAAAAUUAGCGGAUGACCUGUGGCUGGGGGUGAAAGGCCAAUCAAACCGGGAGAUAGCUGGUUCUCCCCGAAAGCUAUUUAGGUAGCGCCUCGUGAAUUCAUCUCCGGGGGUAGAGCACUGUUUCGGCUAGGGGGCCAUCCCGGCUUACCAACCCGAUGCAAACUGCGAAUACCGGAGAAUGUUAUCACGGGAGACACACGGCGGGUGCUAACGUCCGUCGUGAAGAGGGAAACAACCCAGACCGCCAGCUAAGGUCCCAAAGUCAUGGUUAAGUGGGAAACGAUGUGGGAAGGCCCAGACAGCCAGGAUGUUGGCUUAGAAGCAGCCAUCAUUUAAAGAAAGCGUAAUAGCUCACUGGUCGAGUCGGCCUGCGCGGAAGAUGUAACGGGGCUAAACCAU